rnacentral:tRNA from 1 species
GGUAAAAUGGCUGAGAUUAGGCGAUAAAUUGUAAAUUUAUAGACGAAUUGUUAUUCUUUUACCA